rnacentral:rRNA from 1 species
AUGAGGAAGGCGAUCUCCUCGCUGCUCAUGCUAGUGGCACAAGAGGUUCAGGAAGAGAGAAACGCUAGGGUUUUCUGCACCAAGGCAUCGAUGCCAUAUAUUGUCAUUGAUAACAUUAAAGGGGAGGUAAAAAAUUGUGUUCUCUGCAUGGCAAAAUAUUUGAGCUCGAUCAUGUCGCGCCUUGUUCCUUUUCUCCUUUAUUAA